rnacentral:rRNA from 1 species
UGGGGAAUAUUGCACAAUGGGCGCAAGCCUGAUGCAGCCAUGCCGCGUGUAUGAAGAAGGCCUUCGGGUUGUAAAGUACUUUCAGCGGGGAGGAAGGGAGUAAAGUUAAUACCUUUGCUCAUUGACGUUACCCGCAGAAGAAGCACCGGCUAACUCCGUGCCAGCAGCCGCGGUAAUACGGAGGGUGCAAGCGUUAAUCGGAAUUACUGGGCGUAAAGCGCACGCAGGCGGUUUGUUAAGUCAGAUGUGAAAUCCCCGGGCUCAACCUGGGAACUGCAUCUGAUACUGGCAAGCUUGAGUCUCGUAGAGGGGGGUAGAAUUCCAGGUGUAGCGGUGAAGUGCGUAGAGAUCUGGGGGAAUACCGGUGGCGAAGGCGGCCCCCUGGACGAAGACUGACGCUCAGGUGCGAAGGCGUGGGGAGCAAACAGG